rnacentral:lncRNA from 1 species
GCUGGCAUGCAUUAGUAUAUGCCCUAUCAGUCCAUGUCCUCAUCUGAGUCGUACUCCUCACCCUCCUGUGCGUCCUCAAAGUCAUCAUCCUCCUAGUCAUCUUCAUCUCCGCCUGGUGCUCCAACUGUUCCAGACCCGCUACCCUGUGCCUGCUUCUGAGGCCAAGCCAUAGUACCAUAGAACUCGUCCAUAGUCCACCUGUGCACUGGUGGCAUGUCAUACAAUCCUAUAAUCAUCUUAGCAGUAGCUACCUGCCCUCUGCGGAGAGACUCCAUC